GAUGAAGAACGUAGCGAAAUGCGAUAAGUAAUGUGAAUUGCAGAAUUCCGUGAAUCAUCGAAUCUUUGAACGCACAUUGCGCCCCCUGGUAUUCCGGGGGGCAUGCCUGUCCGAGCGUCAUUGCAACCUUCAAGCGCGGCUUGUGUGUUGGGUCUCGUCCCCCGUGGACGGGCCCGAAAGGCAGUGGCGGCGUCCCGACAUGGUGCCCGAGCGUAUGGGAAUCCUCUUCCGCUCGAAUCGGCCCAUGCGGCGCUGAUCGUAACCAAAUUUUUUACCGGUUGACCUCGGAUCAGGUAGGGAUACCCGCUGAACUUAAGCAUAUCAAUAAGCGGAGGA
rnacentral:misc_RNA from 1 species